ensembl:lncRNA
ACUUUCUAAUGUGCCUAAAGCAGUUAACCCAGGAUUGGAAUGAAGGUUUAACCCAAACAGAGGAGAAUGCAUAUUCAGACAGAUGGACUUUAUGUAUAUUUGUGUAGAUCCCGUUAAGGGGUGGAGGGUGUGCUGCUGGCACCCAUGUGCCUCACCUCCUUGGUGCUGUGGACAGUGGUACUGUGGUCAAGAAGACUCUUCUUAAGCACUGAGGGCAACUCUGCUUCUUGGUGCUUGGAAUGGUGACUUGGUGGCCUGGAAGGCUCCUCCUCAGUGCUGGUGAACAUUUUAUUUCAAGUGUAACUUUCAAUCCUGAUGUGUCACCUUCUUGGCUUAAGAAAUGCCUAGCAGAUUAGGAAAGCACGCUCCAGGGUAAGCCUAGGUUCCACAGCAAGAUGGCUUAAUUGCAAAUGGAAGAUCUCAAGACUGGGAGAUUCCUGGAAAUACAGGAAGAAAUUGUGGAGCUUCUUGUGACUUAGCCCCAAAUGUGACUGACUGCCCCUCCUGCUGCAUUCUAUUGGUCCUGUAGCCCACACAUAGGUUCUUAGACUUUGUCUUUUGAUAUGGGACUAAUAAGAUGUCAUUAAGAAGAGGAUAUGGGAGAUGUAAUUUUAGGCCAUCCUAGGAAAAUACAAUCUUCUACAAUUCUAUAAUAAGAAUGCUCAUUGUUUUAUAAUAUGCUUUCUUUCAUUCCUUUAAAUAAUAGAUUCCAAGAUUUAGAGUUGUUUACUAUGCUCAUAGAUAUUUCACCAGAUACUGCAAUUUCAGCAUUCUCUCUCUCCUCUCUCUCUCACACACACAUGCACACACACACACACACACACACAGACAUACACAGAUACAUACUCACACACAUACUCCCUCCUAUACCUGUCUUCUUAACUUUAUGUACUUGUAGCUAUAAGACCAUGUCUCACACAAGUAAGGUGAGUGGAAACAAUAUGUGCAUCUUAUAGACACCCUCUAAAAGUUAGAUGGGUGGGAUGUCAUGAAUUUUUCUUACCUUGCUUUCACUAGCUUGGAAAUUAUAAGAAGCAGAACAAGCAUAAAAGUCCCAUUUUUGGCAACAGUAUUUCUCCCUACCAGCCUUCAGAAAAAAAUAAAUGUGCUUUCUCUUCUGCAGUUUGCCUAUAUGUACUCUAAUUUUCCUGUCCACCAACACAGAUUGAACCUUCAUCAUAGCAACUUAUGCCACCUUAGAUAUUGUACAUUUAUGUGGUAUUUCUAAAAUCAGUGAAAUAUACAUUAUCUUAUGGCUUCAUUUCUGAAAUCAAGUGGAAUCCAAGAAAAUAGAAGAUUGAUAUGGUGUAUAAUAGAAUAUUUUAGUGGGUUGUAAAUUAAAUAACAUAUGGUUACUCAUAAAAGUUGUAUAAUCAAUAAAUUUUCAUUUUAACCAAUCAUUUAUAACUUUGCAUAUAAAAGUCUAUUGCAUAUAAACGUUUUCCUAGAAGAUAUAGGUGGGUGUGGGUGGUGUAGACAAAAUGGAGAAAGUUAUUUUUUUUAUUUCAUUGUAAAUCUUCUACUUAAAGCCAAGUUCAAUUUAAUAAAUUCAUAGAUAUUGUUUUGUUCAAAAUGUAAGCAAAUAUUACUGCUGGUUUUGGUUAUAAAAUUCAAAAAAUAAAUUAUUUAUGUUUUCCCAUAAUUACAAUUUUCUUUAAUAAUGCUAACAGGGUAUAUGCUUAAGUAGCUAAAAUUUCACCUUUAUUUUAAUUUUUCUCUCACACAACUUUUAAUCUUUUUUGCGAGGAUAUUAGGAGAAGAGCUUUAUCAAUACCAUUGUUAAUUAGGAAAAGAAUCUAUUUUGUAAAUGUAAAUGGAAACGCAUAUCUCUUCUGAAAAGAGAUUGAUAAUGAAUUCAUUACUUCAAUUUAGAGAUACCAGCCUAAAUUUUAACAUGGAUUAUGUAAGCUAUAAAUAUUUUGUUUAAAAUUAGGAUUAAAAUAAAA